UGAAAUUCGUGGUGACAAGACGUGUGACAUCGGUAGAAGUGCUUAAUUGUAUUAUUGUUUGAUUGAUAAUUUCGAAACUGUGAGAGCUUAUUCAUAUUUAAUGAUAAUUGAAAAUCCGAAGAUUUUUCUACGAAUAAGAAAAUUAACGGUUGACGUUCGUGCCAUAUUCGACAUGUUUCGACUUGUUGUUACGCUCCCCUCUCCAAUUUCUAAUUCGAUAAUCGAAAUUUCGGCGCGAGGUGUCAUUCUAUUAUCGAAAGUCGUAGAAAUUAGACGCUUUAUUUCAGGUUAGUAGCUGAUUACUGAUCUUUUUCAAGGCGGGAAAAAUUCCAAUAUUCAACAAUCAAUUUGAUGCUGACUUUUUAUGAAUUUUUC